rnacentral:rRNA from 1 species
GCAGGGAAUAUUGCGCAAUGGGCGAAAGCCUGACGCAGCGACGCCGCGUGGGGGAUGAAGGUCUUCGGAUUGUAAACCCCUUUUGUCAGGGAAGAAUAAUGACGGUACCUGAUGAAUAAGUCACGGCUAACUACGUGCCAGCAGCCGCGGUAAUACGUAGGUGGCUAGCGUUAUCCGGAUUUACUGGGCGUAAAGAGGGUGUAGGCGGUUCUUCAAGUCAGAUGUAAAAUCUCUCGGCUUAACCGGGAGGGACCAUUUGAUACUGUUGGACUAGAGGGCGGCAGAGGGAGAUGGAAUUCCCGGUGUAGUGGUGAAAUGCGUAGAUAUCGGGAGGAACACCAGUGGCGAAGGCGGUCUCCCAGGCUGUUUCUGACGCUGAGGCCCGAAAGCGUGGGGAGCAAACAGGAUCAGAUACCCUGGUAGUCC